UUUCUCCAGUGAGGCGCGACCUUCAUGUGUUAAUACCUGCUUAUCCCUGGCUGCUGGUGUCACGGAGCUUGCCUGAGUCCACCCCUGUCCACCCCUGGCGUCCCUCUUGGCUUUACUCGCAUUCCUACAGUCACCGGGAAGACAUGCAGUGGUCGGCCCGCGUGAGGAGAAUCGG